UCCAUUCCAUUGUAAAAUAUAAUUGGAUCAUGUAGAAGUGAAACACAACGACCUUUCUGAUUCAGAUUGUGACAUAUGUACGAUUUACCAAAAUAUCGUAUUGAUGGACUUCAGAUUUGGGCCAUAUAUAGUAUACAAUAUAAUGGAUUUAUGGACUGUAUCAUUGCCUCUAAUUAUAUUUCGCAUCCAUGUCCAUUUGUUUCUAUCUUCAUUACCAAUCCUUGCAAUGGUGCAUAAUGAGUUACACUAUCAUGAGUUUUGAUAUUUUGUGUGAGUUGAUACUAAUUUCAGGACGACUGCUACUUUUCUUUUGUGUGUGCAAUAAAAAACGAUCAUUUCUCAUGUAUUUAUGAGGUAUUAAUCAUAGAUGAGGACGUGGAAAGCGCUUGAUAGAUCCUGUGCAGCCUACGCUAGAAGGAAGAUGGGAGAAGCUUCUAAGCUGAGGAUGAGUGUUAUCUGCGGACACUCUAACUUGCAAGUCUUCCUCGAUCCCGUUUGAUGAGAGUUAAGGUUCUGUUCAGAUACUUCGAAAAAAGGUGGGUGUGAUCAGUGAAAACUUUGAACUAUAACUCAAAUAUCCAAUUACUUUUCUCCAGCAAGUUGGUGGUGGUGCAUUUCUUGCAUUUCAAGCAAAGGAAGAAGUUCAACAGCCAGUCAUCUAUCAGCUCGAGGUUGGCAAUUUGAGCAUCCUAAACUCUCAUGUGGUGCUUACUUGGAAAAGGACAAGGAUUGGAUUGGACUGAGUGUUACAUUCAGUCGAACAAAAUUAUAUAUAUCAUCACCACUCAAUAAUGUGAAGAUGCUCUAACAGAAAAAGCUUUGACAACUUUUGCUGGCUAGGAACAGGGUACCUCCUUUUUCCAUAGUGAGACUUUGCUCUCAAGUAAAGCUCCUUGAUUUCGGUGCACAUCUUUGUGCUGCUAAAAUGCGGCAUUUGUUAUUGUUUAGCAGAUCAACAACCAAAGUUAAACACAACAGAUGUUUAGCAUUUGCUAAUGAGUUCUGGAGUUUUGAAGUAGCUGAACUGAAAGCUCGUGUGUUCCUGUCCAUUCUUCUGCAGAUCAUGUUACCUUGGAAAGUGGUAUCAGGUACUACAUCUUCUGGAUCCAGACUCAGCACAAGCAGAGGAGAACAUCUGUUACUUCAAGAACACAUCUGACCUUAGCAUCUCCUCCUCCUGGGACUAUGUAUGGAGUCCAUGGAUAUCUAUGCGUAUUGUUUGAGUCACUAAACCUACUAUCCUUUGGGAAGAGGUGAUGGCUAAUUGGUGGUCCAGAGACAUUUCAGGAGUCGAUGGACACACCACAUAUGAUCCUGCCGGCCAAUUUAUGCAUAAAUAAUUGCAGAUAGCUUGAAAGUUAUUUCGCUUUGUUUAACAAAAUGGCUGAGAGACAGUAAGGCUGUGGCAACAGGGGGACUCAGAAUAGUGCCUGCAUGACCUCCUGUUCUUGGACGUGCUGGCUACCCAUAAAGAAGGUGACAAGU